UACGUAGGGGGCAAGCGUUGUCCGGAUUUAUUGGGCGUAAAAGGCUUGUAGGUGGCCACGCCAAGUCGGAUGUGAAAUCUCCCGGCUCAACUGGGAGGGGUCAUUCGAUACUGGCGGGCUCGAGGCCGGUAGGGGGAAGUGGAAUUCCCGGUGUAGUGGUGGAAUGCGUAGAUAUCGGGAGGAACACCAGUGGCGAAGGCGACUUUCUGGACUGUGUCUGACACUGAGGCGCGAAAGCUAGGGGAGCGAACGGG
rnacentral:rRNA from 1 species